UAUUGGACAAUGGGCGAAAGCCUGAUCCAGCAAUUCCGCGUGAGCGAAGAAGGCCUUCGGGUUGUAAAGCUCUUUCGGCAGGGACGAUAAUGACGGUACCUGCAGAAGAAGCCCCGGCCAACUACGUGCCAGCAGCCGCGGUAACACGUAGGGGGCGAGCGUUGUCCGGAUUUAUUGGGCGUAAAGAGCUCGUAGGCGGUUUCGUAAGUCGGGUGUGAAAACUCCAGGCUCAACCUGGAGACGCCACCCGAUACUGCGAUGACUAGAGUCCGGUAGGGGAGCGUGGAAUUCCUGGUGUAGCGGUGAAAUGCGCAGAUAUCAGGAGGAACACCAACGGCGAAGGCAGCGCUCUGGGCCGGAACUGACGCUGAGGAGCGAAAGCGUGGGUAGCGAACAG
rnacentral:rRNA from 1 species